GAUGAACGCUAGCGAUAGGCUUAACACAUGCAAGUCGAGGGGCAGCACAAGGUAGCUUGCUAUCUGGGUGGCGACCGGCGCACGGGUGCGUAACGCGUAUGCAACUUGCCCUAUACAGGAGGAUAACCCGUCGAAAGACGGACUAAUUCUGCGUAUGCUCACAACUUGGCAUCAAGUGGUGAGGAAAGAAAUUCGGUAUAGGAUAGGCAUGCGUCCCAUUAGCUUGUUGGUGAGGUAACGGCUCACCAAGGCAACGAUGGGUAGGGGAACUGAGAGGUUUAUCCCCCACACUGGUACUGAGACACGGACCAGACUCCUACGGGAGGCAGCAGUGAGGAAUAUUGGUCAAUGGGCGCGAGCCUGAACCAGCCAAGUCGCGUGAAGGAUGACUGUCUUAUGGAUUGUAAACUUCUUUUAUACGGGAAUAACAAGAGUCACGGGUGACUCCCUGCAUGUACCGUAUGAAUAAGCAUCGGCUAACUCCGUG
rnacentral:rRNA from 1 species